AUUGAACGCUGGCGGCAGGCCUAAUACAUGCAAGUCGAACGAGUGGCGGACGGGUGAGUAAUGUCUGGGAAACUGCCAGAUGGAGGGGGAGAACGAAUGGAAACGGUAGCUAAUACCGCAUACCAUCAGAUGUGCCCAGGUGGGAUGAGCUUGUUGGUGUGGUAACGGCUCACCAAGGCGACGAUCCCUAGCUGGUCUGAGAGGAUGACCAGCCCCACUGGAACUGAGACACGUUCCAGACUCCUACGGGCGGCAGCAGUGGGGACUAUUGCACUAUGGGCGCAAGCCUUAUUCAGCCAUGCCGCGUGUAUGAAGGAGGCCUUCGGGUUGUGAAGUACUUUCGGCGGGGAGGCGUUACCCGCAGAAGAAGCACCGGCUAACUCCGUGCCAGCCGCCGCGGUAAUAC
rnacentral:rRNA from 1 species